AAAAGCGACCCCAGGUCAGGCGGGGCUACCCGCCGAGUUU
rnacentral:rRNA from 1 species